UCAGUUACAGUUAACUUUGGAUUACCACUCACAGAUUGAAAGCCCAACAGCCAUCACGCAGUCUGGGCCUGUGGUGACACUUGUAUGUGUGUUUCUAAAUCAAUGAUGAGGGUAUCGGAACCCAUACUGGACAUGGAGAUGGCAAAUUACAGUGAAGUCUUGGACCCAACUUACACAACUUUGGAGUUUGACACUAUGCAGAUUCUGUAUAAUUCAAAUGAUAGUUCUGUCCCAGAGACAACAAGUAUGAAUACCACAGAUAACGGUGUCAACUGUCUAUGUGCCAUAUGUGGGGACAGAGCGACAGGAAAGCACUAUGGUGCCUCCAGCUGUGAUGGGUGCAAGGGUUUCUUCAGACGCAGCAUCCGCAAGAGUCACGUUUAUUCCUGCAGGUUCAGUCGGCAAUGUGUUGUUGACAAGGACAAAAGGAAUCAAUGUAGAUACUGUCGAUUAAGAAAAUGCUUUAGAGCAGGAAUGAAAAAAGAAGCUGUACAAAAUGAACGUGAUAGAAUAAGCACCAGAAGAAGCACAUUUGAUGGCAGCAACAUCCCCUCCAUCAACACACUGGCGCAAGCAGAAGUUCGGUCUCGCCAGAUCUCAGUCUCAAGCCCUGGUGCGAGCGCUGACAUAAACGUUAAGAAAAUUGCCAGUAUUGGUGAUGUCUGUGAAUCCAUGAAACAGCAACUCCUAGUCUUGGUGGAAUGGGCUAAAUAUAUCCCUGCCUUUUGUGAGUUACCACUGGACGAUCAGGUGGCACUGUUGAGAGCUCACGCAGGGGAACAUUUACUGCUUGGAGCUACAAAGAGAUCCAUGAUGUAUAAAGAUAUUUUGCUUUUGGGGAACAACUAUGUUAUUCACCGCAACAGCUGUGAAGUCGAGAUUAGCCGUGUGGCCAACCGGGUUCUAGAUGAGCUGGUCCGACCAUUUCAAGAAAUUCAGAUUGAUGAUAAUGAAUAUGCUUGUUUGAAGGCAAUUGUCUUUUUUGAUCCAGACGCAAAAGGGCUAAGUGAUCCGGUGAAGAUUAAGAACAUGCGGUUCCAAGUGCAGUUGAGUUUGGAGGACUACAUCAACGACCGGCAGUAUGACUCCCGGGGCAGAUUUGGGGAGCUGCUUCUGCUCCUGCCCACACUGCAGAGCAUCACGUGGCAAAUGAUUGAGCAAAUACAAUUUGUUAAACUUUUUGGAAUGGUUAAAAUUGACAACUUACUUCAGGAGAUGUUACUGGGUGGUGCUUCCACUGAGGCUAACCAUCUCCAUCAUCCAAUGCACCCACAUUUGUCUCAAGAUCCAUUAACUGGACAGACUAUACUUUUGGGUUCAAUGUCAACACUGGUGCAUACAGACCAGAUCUCCAGUUCUCUUUCAGUUGUCCAUGUUUGCAAAAUGCCAUGUGAAUUUAUCACUGGGAGGGAGACAGGAGGCAACACAACUACACACUUUGUUGUCAGUGUGUGAACUGAAGGAAAUAUGUUCAUUGACCAAUCACAAUCAUGAACAGACUGAAGGAUGUGGUGUGAUUGGUUACUGAUCAAAAUGCACAUCUAUUAUAUAGCAACUCCUGAAACCCCACUUCCUUCCCCACCUCAAGGCUCUGGACAAGAACCAUACAAAAUAGCUGCAAAUCAAGCUUCAGUCAUUUCACACCAGUCUCUUUCCAAACAAAAGCAAUUGUGAGAGUAUGUUUACUUCUGAACGGCACUGCAUAAAUGUGAAAAGUUGUUGUUCUUAAAAUAUCUCAGGAUAGCACUUUUGGCAGACUCUUAGCCAAGGCUUCUUCAUGGUGCUGUUAUAAAGACGGUAUCCUGUUUUCUUGUUUAUAUGUUCAUUUUGUUUGUUGUUGCUAUUGUUUAAAACCUUUAGAUGCAACCAAUGUCUAUCACUGAGUUCCAAUGCGUUUGUAUAGCAUAAACCUGUACUGUGCCUGAACCAGUUGAAUCUCAUGUACUACUUUCGUGUGUUGUCUUAUUAUUAAUUUAAACCUGUAAAUAAUUGCUUUAUGGUGAUGUGAUGAAGAACUAAGUUUUCUCCAUUGAGAACAGUAGAUCAGAAAUCCCAGAUUAAUAUUAAAUGAGCCAAGUUCUUUUUUUUUUAAUAAAUUUUAAACUUGCAGAUUUGAAAAUUAAAGCAGUUGCUGUAGAAUAGGGUAUAUUUCUUUGAAGAAUCACUUACAAGCAUCUUUUUGGCCCAUAGUUAAAUAUGCCUAUAAAAGAUUAGAAAAUUAUAAAUAGGCAUUUCAAAGAUGACUGGGUAUUCCUUGAAAUCUGCCUAUAUUUGAAGAUGUAUGGUAAAAUAAAAUGUUAAAUUUAUCAGUUAGGAUACAGGCUAAAUUGUUUAAAGAAACCCUUAAAAAGAGGCUUAAGGAAGACAGGCAUUUAUUUCCCUCUCAGAAAACAAAUCUAGAAGUAGUCAUCCUUUGACUAGAACUUAGCACAUGCCCACAUGUGGUUCUCAGGGACACUGGGAGUGUAGUCUUUAGGCAGAAAGCCUCGUGCCAACAAACCUGUCCAUCUCUGGGAUUCUGAUAUCAAGAGACAGAUUAGCCAUCUGUCACACACAUGUUGCCUCAUUUAGCCCUCCUGUAAAAGAGGUAUUAUUAUCUUUUUCUUAUAAAUUAAGAAACCUUUAGCUUAGAGGAUUUAAAUAACAUAACCAAAGAUCAUUAAACCUAAAGAGGAGGAGAGCUGCACUCUAGCCCAGGUCUAAUGGACUUUAAGGAGAAUAAAUCUUUGGUAUGAAAAUGUGAGCUUCUUACUGUGGUUUUUAAGUAAAUGCAGUUGAGUAAAUGCAAUGUUUUGAGUAAAUGCAAAUGGAUAUUAUCCAUUGUGUUACCUGUUAACACAUAUUUACAUAUAAAUGAGUGUAAAUUUGUUGCAACAUGAAUAAGAAACUACUUUUGUACCUUAAAUGAGUCUUCUAACUUUAAUGAAUCUUCUUCCUAAAAUAAAAAGAUUUGAAAAACUUUCGAACAAAGAAAAUAAAAUGUAUAGCAGGUAGAUCAUGAUGAAAGCACAGACAAAUUAAAAUCACUGACACCAUAUUUUCAAAAAUCCAGUGGACUGAGGAAUAUAGUUCUUUGGAGCCCCAGAUUUGAUAUUAUCUAAAGCUGGAGCUUAUUUUAAAACAAUUGACAGUCUGCCUCAAGAAACAGUGAUGUCUCUCUUUCUC